rnacentral:rRNA from 1 species
UAACACAUGCAAGUCGAACGAGAAUCACUGGAAGGAGUUUUCGGACAACGGAAGGUGAGGACAGUGGCGGACGGGUGAGUAACGCGUGAGGAACCUGCCUUUCAGAGGGGGACAACAGUUGGAAACGACUGCUAAUACCGCAUGACACAUAGAGAUCGCAUGGUUUUUAUGUCAAAGAUUUAUCGCUGAAAGAUGGCCUCGCGUCUGAUUAGCUAGUUGGUGAGGUAACGGCCCACCAAGGCGACGAUCAGUAGCCGGACUGAGAGGUUGACCGGCCACAUUGGGACUGAGAUACGGCCCAGACUCCUACGGGAGGCAGCAGUGGGGAAUAUUGGGCAAUGGGCGCAAGCCUGACCCAGCAACGCCGCGUGAAGGAAGAAGGCUUUCGGGUUGUAAACUUCUUUUGUCGGGGACGAGUAGAAGACGGUACCUGGCGAAUAAGCCACGGCUAACUACGUGCCAGCAGCCGCGGUAAUACGUAGGUGGCAAGCGUUGUCCGGAUUUACUGGGUGUAAAGGGCGUGUAGCCGGGAGGGCAAGUCAGAUGUGAAAUCCACGGGCUUAACUCGUGAACUGCAUUUGAAACUACUUUUCUUGAGUAUCGGAGAGGCAAUCGGAAUUCCUAGUGUAGCGGUGAAAUGCGUAGAUAUUAGGAGGACACCAGUGGCGAA